GCCGCAAGGUUAAAACUCAAAUGAAUUGACGGGGGCCCGCACAAGCGGUGGAGCAUGUGGUUUAAUUCGAUGCAACGCGAAGAACCUUACCUGGUCUUGACAUCCACGGAAGUUUUCAGAGAUGAGAAUGUGCCUUCGGGAACCGUGAGACAGGUGCUGCAUGGCUGUCGUCAGCUCGUGUUGUGAAAUGUUGGGUUAAGUCCCGCAACGAGCGCAACCCUUAUCCUUUGUUGCCAGCGGUCCGGCCGGGAACUCAAAGGAGACUGCCAGUGAUAAACUGGAGGAAGGUGGGGAUGACGUCAAGUCAUCAUGGCCCUUACGACCAGGGCUACACACGUGCUACAAUGGCGCAUACAAAGAGAAGCGACCUCGCGAGAGCAAGCGGACCUCAUAAAGUGCGUCGUAGUCCGGAUUGGAGUCUGCAACUCGACUCCAUGAAGUCGGAAUCGCUAGUAAUCGUGGAUCAGAAUGCCACGGUGAAUACGUUCCCGGGCCUUGUACACACCGCCCGUCACACCAUGGGAGUGGGUUGCAAAAGAAGUAGGUAGCUUAACCUUCGGGAGGGCGCUUACCACUUUGUGAUUCAUGACUGGGGUGAAGUCGUAACAAGGUAACCGUAGGGGAACCUGCGGUUGGAUCACCUCCUUA
rnacentral:rRNA from 2 species